ACGCUCGACACCUACUGGAGGCAGCAGUGAGGAAUAUUGGUCAAUGGGCGCAGGCCUGAACCAGCCAAGUAGCGUGAAGGAUGACUGCCCUAUGGGUUGUAAACUUCUUUUAUAUGGGAAUAAAGUUUUCUACGUGUGGAAUUUUGUAUGUACCAUAUGAAUAAGGAUCGGCUAACUCCGUGCCAACAGCCGCGGUAAUCUGAGCGGGCUGGCAAGGC
rnacentral:rRNA from 1 species